rfam:Operophtera brumata OBRT01_Sc00591, whole genome shotgun sequence.
CGUUCUAUGGGCGAACUAGUGAAGGCAUCGCCGAUCACAGGCGAAGAUGCGGGUUCGAGUCCCGCUCGAACGA